CUUGACUGAUGCAUCAGAUACCGAGAUUGAUGCAGACACAUUUGAUGAGCUGAUAAAGUCAGGGGUCCGAAACUUCAAGGUUGGAUACCGCAAGUACCCAGUAACGGAGUUGGACAUUGAAUUGGUGGAAUACAACUCGCAGUCCUCCGUAUUGUCAGACUCCACAGCAUCACCAGUUUCAUUGCCAGGACCCCCCGCAUCACCAGCUUCUACAAGUUCAGGUUCGACAAUCAUCCUCCCAUCCACUAAAAACCGGAAGAGAGGCCUGGUAGAGCUGGAACGUAAUGAAGCAAGACAGAAAGUUGAUACUAUUCUGAGGUCCAACCCGAAAGGUGAAGAAAUCUUCAAAGAAUAUGACAAAACUAAGACGCUGUCAGACACGACACGCAGACAUAUGAUCAACAUUCUGGUUGCAGAAAUGACAGAUUCACAUGGGUAAGAAAUCCUUUCAAAUGACAAACAUGAAAAACAUUAAUAAGAAACAAAUGUAAUAAACUGUAUGUGUGUAUCCAUU